CCCCGUCGAAACCAUUUUGCCGGAAGCCGGAAGUGAAACUGUCCCGAUUGGAAAAGGCCCAUAGGGAGGCAUUGGGCGUUAGUGAAUUUUUGUAAGAACCUGAGACGUUUCCCGGUUCGGCCCAGCCCAGGCGACGCCGGGAGGGCGGGACCACAGCGUGAAUCUGAGCUUCGUAAUUAGCACUAAGCUUGGAGAGUCUCCCAGGACCGAAUUUUGUAGUUCUGUCGGCCAGUGACUUUAGAUAAAGUAUUCUGUCAGGCCCUCUGGUAAGCGCAAGACUUGCUGUAGCAGGGGAGAUGUGGCGUACAGUACGAUGAGGAGGAUUCAUGUCUAAGGAUGCAGGAUGGUGGCCGCGUUCCCAAGGAAACACCCCGAGAGAAGGAACGGUUACGUCAGUGGACUCCACCUAGACUGUGGAGGGCAGUCGUGGGUGCCAGGAGAUCAACCGAAUCACUUUCAGAGGACAGCGUUCCCUCAGAGAACUACUGGGAAGAACUAGUUUCCAGAGAACAGGAAACGUCGGGAGUUCGGGGCUGUGAGAGGUGCCUAGGAAAGCUAGGGAAACCGGACUUUAAUAAUUCCGUUUGUUUCAUGCCCCCUUCGACGGUCACAAAAGUGUACGAGCUCUGGCAGGCGUAGCUCGUUGGAAGAGCAUUUGCCUAACGUGUCUGUCGUCCUGAAUUCAAGUGUCAAAUGGAUGACUUGCCCAUCUUGCCCGUGACAGUUUAUGACUACCUCUCAGGAAUGGAAGACCUGGGGCGUGCCAGGAAAGCAGUGUAUCACCAAGCCACAUCACCAGCCCUAACAAGGGAUUGGUCUGGUGAAGAACUGGAUUGGUAUGGUCCAGUGUUUAUGAGUUGUCUUUCUUCUUGCUAAGAUACGAUACCUGAUAAAAGCCACUUAAGGAAGGGAGGGGUUGUUUUACCUUACCUUUUGUGAUGGGAGAGGCGGCAGCGGCGGCGGUGGGGGGAUGCAAAACAUGGCAGGGAAGGCAUGGUGGCGGAAGUGUGGGGCAACUGCUCAUGUUGUGUCCAUAGUGCAGAGAGAUGAAGGAUUGAUGCCCUAGACCAGGGAAUGGUAUCACCUGCAUUUAGGGAAGGUCUUCCCAUCUCAGUUAAACCUCUAGAAACAGCCUCACAGACACAGACUGUUGUCUUCUAGGUGUCUCUAAAUGAGGCUAAAAUGACAAGUUUAACUAUCACAAAUCCGCUCCUGACACUCCAGCUUAUCACCUUUACAUAGGAACUGUCCAUUAGCUGGUUGUGCCACUGGAGCUAUGUCAAAUACAUCACUUUUCUUUCUUGGUUUUUUUUUGUUGUUGUUGUUGCUGUUAUUGUCUGUUUUGUUUUGAGGCACUGUUUCUCUAUGUAGCCCUGGCUGUUCUAGAACUCACUAUGUAGACCAGGCUGGUGGUGGUGGCUCAUGUCUUUAAUCCCAUCACUCAGGAGGCAGAGGCAGGGGGAUCUCUGUGUGUUCGAGACCAGCCUGGUCUACAGAUUGAGUCCAGCACAGCUUGAUCUGUUAUACAGAGAAACCCUGUCUUAAAGCCCCCAACACUCAAAAAAAAUAAAUGAAUUAUAACAUA